GUUCUCACGCCCAGUUGUUACCCUGUGUUUUGCAGAGCCUGCUGUUCCGGCUGCUGCGUCUUCAGAGGCUGAUCGAGGCAAGGGCGUCCCGAGCUAGAGCCCUACCCGACGAAUCGCCGUGCUAGAGGAUCACCAGCUGCAGGUAGUAGUAUUUUUAUUUUGAGCUUAUGUACAUACUGAUACUAGAACUCGCUGGAGCGAGUAUUUUUGUACUUGUUAGUUUGUAUGUAUAUAAGAUUUGUUCGUUCUACUUGCUUAGUUCUCUUCAGCUCUACACUACUGUUUGUAGUAUUGUAUAUUUUACAGAGACAGUUAUCGCUUCGUAUAUGGAAAAUUUUUUUUUGUAUACGGCGGAUUUGUCGGCGUGCCCGAGGAACAUGUAAUCUGGGGCGUGACAGAUUAAGUUGGUAUCAGAGCUUAGCAUUAGGUCAUUGGGAUCUAGGAAACCUAAGUUUGGCAAACCUUAGAAAAAUAAGACGGGAGAGGCGUGAUUUAUUGCGAAAGUCAAUGAUUAAUUGUUGUAACUCACCCUGAGGGGAGUGAGUGAUUGGAGGAGUGCCUGUUCUGGCCUGCAAAAUUAUGUUGGCUGCAGACGACAUAAUUUUGAGGAGAAACAGGGGCUGUCUUCCGGACUUUCGUUGAUUGGGUCGAGAGUAUUUGUGUUAUCUAACCCUAUUCUAUUUUUGCAGCUAUGUAUCGUCGUCGAGGCCGGCCGUCGACACGGGACCGGGCACAGUUGACACAGGAUCGUGUGGGACCCUCCGAGAUGCCUGAGCAGGCAGAGCCGAGUGCUCGGCAGGAGCAAAGUACGCGACCAGAGGCGACCGCAUUCCCCGAUUUGGGUGCUCAGUUGGCCGCUCUGACAGAGGUGACGAGGCGGCAGGGGGAGUUGUUGGAGAGGUUGUGUGAGAGGGUCACCCUGCCACAGAGUACCGUACUAGAGCAGAUUAUUCCACCUCCGACUGCUCCAGCGGCGCACCAGCUACAGUAGUACCACCACCAGUGACCGUUAUUUCAGUGCAAGUUGCGACGGUCGGUGAGGCAUCGCAGAUGACCGAGGCUGAGCAGGAGCGGAUGGCUGAGAGACUCGCUUGCUUUCAUCGUUUCGAUCCGCCGACUUUUGAUGGCCGAUGCACAGAGGCUUGGGUUGUUGAGGACUGGGUUAGCUCGAUGGAGAAGUUAUUUGAGGAUCUUUUCAUUCCUAAGCGGGAGCAGGUACAUCUGGGAGUGCAUUGCUUGACAGGGGUGCCCUUGCUUGGUGGUUGAGAGUGAGGAGAGAUUACCAGUUGGUGACUUUGCAGAUGACAUGGGACGAGUUCUGUGGAAUGCUGUAUGGGAUGUAUUUUUUCAACAGUGUGAAACAGAAGCUCGAGGAGGAUUUAAAGAAGAUCCAGUAGGGAGACCGGACAGUACAGGAGUAUAUUCAAGAGUUCACGCGACUCCUAAACUGUGUGCCGUUUGUGGCUAGAGACGAGGCACACAGGGUGUACCUUUUCGAGCAGGGUUUGAGGCUCGAGAUUUUUCAGUUGGUUCUGGCGCAAAGGUUGAGGACCUUGGACGCGUCGAUGGAGCAGGCACUUUGGGUUGAGAGAGGUGAUGUAUCUAUUCGGGAGAGGACUCAGGCUACAGGGCAGAGUCAGGACAGGAAGCGCUCAGCUCCAGAUGAGGGUGGACAGUCGAGCAGCCGGCGUCCGCCGAGACCUCCACGGUCGCGUUCUCAAGGUCGUGGGUUCUCGGGGCGACAGCGUUAUGGGAGAUCGUGGCAGCAGAGGCAGUCACAGGGAUUACCACCAUGUGUGAUUGUGGAGGACCGCACUGGGCCCGGCAGUGUGAGCAGCGUGAGGGUCGAUAUUUUGGAUGUGGACAGCCGGGGCAUAUGAGGUCUGCUUGCCCCCGAGCAGCAUCACCACCGCCAUCGACCGCUUCAGCAGCAUCCGGAUCUCAGCAGAUUUCUGGAGCAUCUCAGAGUUACCGCCAGGAGGACAGGGCAUUUGCGCCACGACAAGGUGAGCGGCGACAGCAGGCUCCGAGUGGCAGAGUAUAUGCAGCCCAGGUGGAGGACUCUUUAGCAGCCGACCGAGUGGUGACAGGUAUUAUUUUGAUCUCUAGCAUUAGAGCUCAUACCCUUUUCGAUAUCGGUGCAUCCCAUUCCUUUAUUAGUCGAGCAUUUGCAUUGUUGCAUGGUCUAGAAUUAGGAGCUUUGUCACAGGCACGGGAGGUGCAGAUUCUCGAUCAUGUAUUACAGGUUGCAGAGUGUUGUUGGUCGUGUUCGGUGCCACUGCAACAAAAACGGUCUAUAGCGACACUUUUAAAUAUAGGCACAUGUCAAAAAAGUACUGCUAGCUAAAAUUACUGACACUUUUAAAAAGUGUUGCUAUAUGUGGGGUCGCUAGGUAUAUAGUGACAGUUAAAGAGUGUCGCUAUAACCUAAAAGAGUGCUGCUAAUUUACCAACACUUACUUAAGCAUUUAGCAACCGCUGAAACUCUAUCUCGUUGACUGCGGUAGCGGAGGGGGACGACAGGAAAGGCUCUUCGUCUAAAGUUUCAGUGGAUUGAGUGAAGAGAGAAAAAAAGAUGGUAAUUGAAUUUUCUUUUUUUUUUCUUUUAUGUUUGUAAUCAGGCCAAAUGGACUAGGUGUGGUGGGUUGAGUAGAGUAAUCUUUUAUUUUUGGUUGGAUUGAGCUUUAUAUUUAGGCAUUAGUAGAUAUUUUUUUAAGUUUUAGGAUAAAUGGGACACUGACUCAAAAGUGUCCCAAACAUGUGCCCCUAUAACCUAAUUCUGUUGUAGUGUGCAGUUGGAUUCGUGGAUCUUGCCCGCAGACCUGUUGGUUUUAGGGCAGCUGCAGGACUUCGACAUUGUGCUCGGUAUAGAUUGACUAGCACGGUACUAUGCUACGAUCGACUGUGGAGCGAGGACAGUGACGUUUCGCUAGCCAGGCCAGGAGGAGUUUACUUUUAGGGGCUGCAGGAGUACGCUGUUCGCUACUUGGAUAUCUUCGGCGAGGGCUCGACAGCUGAUGAGCAGAGGAUGUGUCGUGUUUCUGGCGACGGUAGUAAAGGUACCUACGGCGACACCGGGACUCGAGGAUAUUCCUGUAGUUCACGAGUUUCCGGAUGUGUUUGCCCCUGAGUUGACGAUGAUGCCGCCGGAGAGAGAGAUUGAGUUCGUGAUUGAUGUGGUUCCCGGAACUACACCAAUCUCAAAGAUACCUUAUAGGAUGGCACCGGCAGAGCUGAGAGAGCUAAAGGCGCAGCUUCAGGAUUUGAUGGACAAGGGAUAUGUGAGACCCAGUGUAUCGCCUUGGGGAGUGCCGGUGUUAUUUGUAAAGAAGAAGGAUGGUUCGCUCAGGUUUUGUGUGGACUACCGGGAGCUGAAUAAAGUGACAAUCAAGAACAAGUAUCCCUUACCGCGCAUUGAUGAUUUGUUUGAUCAGCUGCAGGGAUCUUGUGUCUUCUCGAAGAUUGAUCUCCAGUCAGGUUAUCACCAGCUGAGGGUGAGGGCCGAGGAUGUUUCCAAGACGGCUUUUCGAACUCGAUACGGGCAUUAUGAGUUUACCGUGAUGCCUUUUGGAUUGACGAAUGCCCCUGCCGCAUUCAUGGGUUUGAUGAACAGAGUGUUCAAGCCGUUCUUGGAUAGAUUUGUGGUAAUCUUCAUCGAUGACAUUCUGAUCUACUCUCGUAAUGAUGCUGAGCAUGAGGAGCACUUGAGGAUUGUGCUACAGCUUCUGCGAUAGAAGAAGCUGUAUGCCAAGUUAAAGAAGUGCGAGUUUUGGUUGCGGGAGGUCGCUUUCUUGGGCCACGUAAUUUCUGCAGAGGGAGUAACAGUGCACCAGAAGAAGAUUGAUGCUAUUCGGGAUUGGCCCAGACCGACGACGGUGACAGAGGUGAGGAGUUUUCUUAGACUAGCAGGAUAUUACCGUUGGUUUGUGGAGGGCUUUGCGAAGCUUUCCACACCCCUUACCAGGUUGACACGGAAGGGGAUUCGGUUUGUUUGGUAUGAGGACUGCCAGAGGAGCUUCGACGAGCUAAGACAAAGAUUGAUGUCAGCUCCUAUCCUUGCUCUCCCUGUGAUGGGGGAAGGAUUCGUGAUCUAUAGUGAUGCAUCGCACAGUGGACUGGGUUGUGUGUUGAUGCAGCAUGGUUGGGUAAUUGUUUAUGCUUCACGGCAGUUAAAGGAUUAUGAGAAGAAUUACCCUACGCAUGAUUUGGAGUUGCCACGGUUGUCUUUGCUUUGAAGCUAUGGCGGCAUUAUUUGUACGGCGAGCACUGCGAGGUUUUCACCGAUCAUAAAAGUCUCAAGUAUCUGUUCACUCAAAAGGAAUUGAAUCUGAGACAGCGCCGGUGGUUGGAGUUACUGAAAGACUAUGAUAUUAGUAUUCAGUAUCAUCUCGGCAGGGCGAAUGUAGUGGCAGAUGCAUUGAGCAGGAGGGCAGCGCAGAGCUUGAGUUUGUUGAUCACUCAGCAGAGACCGCUACUUGAGGAGCUACAGCGGCUGAGGCUUGAGGUGGUGUCCCCUGGGUCUACAGCAAGACUGAUGUUUCUGGUCUUGCAGCCCACUCUGUUGGAUAGAUUCGGGAGAAACAGAGUGGAGAUCCGCAUUGUUGAGGAUUCGACAGCAGUUAGAUAGGGGACAGGCGGAGGGUUUUGUUUUAGACAGUUCGGGAGUAUUGCUUUACGGGGACAGACUGUGUGUGUCUGUGGAUUCUGAGAUCCGAGAGGACAUCUUGAGGGAGUUUCAUUGUUCACCUUAUACGGUUCACCCUGGGGGAACCAAGAUGUAUAAGAAUUUAAAGGCACAGUUUUAGUAGAAUGGGAUGAAGAGGGACAUUGGCAGAUUUGUAGCUCAGUGUUUGACUUGCCAACAGGUAAAGGUCGAGCAUCGGAUACCUGCUGGCAAGCUUCAGAGUCUGUUAGUGCCCGAGUGGAAAUGGGAGCAGAUCACUAUGGAUUUUGUUGUGGGGUUACCUAGAGCACAUGGUAGCUAUGAUGCUAUUUGGAUGAUAGUGGACAGACUAACUAAGUCUGCUCACUUCCUACCAGUUCAGACCGCCUGGUCCAGAGAGAGACUCCCGCAAUUGUAUCUGGAUGAGAUUGUCAGGCUAUAUGGUGUACCAGUAUCGAUCGUAUCAGACCGGGACCCGAGGUUUGUGUCAUAUUUUUGGAGGAGUUUACAGACAGCUUUGGGGACUAAGUUACAUUUCAGCACAGCGUUUCACCCGCAGACGGAUGGUUAGUCGGAGCGGACCAUUCAGACUCUAGAGGACAUGCUUAGGGCAUGUGUCCUGGAUUUUGGAGGAGGGUGGUAUCGAUACUUGAGACUAGCAGAGUUUGCGUACAACAACAGCUAUCAAACGAGCAUUCAGAUGGCUCCGUUUGAGGCAUUGUAUGGACGCAGGUGUCGAUCCCUAUUGUUUCGGAGUGAUGUGGGUGAGAGGAGGACACUUGGGCCUGAGAUUUUGCUAGAGGCUGAGAAAAAGGUGAGAGUUGUUCGACGACACCUUUUGACAGCCCAGAGCCGCCAGAGGGCUACGCCGAUACCAGGAGACGAGACUUGGAGUUCCGGGUUGGAGAUCAUGUGUUUCUUAAAGUCUUGCCGUCCAGAGGGAUUCGCCGAUUUGGAGUGCGUGGAAAGCUCAGUCCACGUUUCGUUGGCCCUUUUGAGGUAUUGGAGCGAGUUGGACCAGUUGCUUACCAGAUUACUUUACCACCCCGACUUGCUGGUAUCCAUGAUGUGUUCCACGUCUCGGUGCUGAGGAGAUAUGUUUUCGAUCCUUCUCACGUGAUUGACUUCACUCUGCUAGAGAUUGGCGAGGAUUUGAGAUACGAGGAGUGACCGGUGCGCAUUCUUGCUCGCGAGACGAAGGAAUUGCGCAACCGGGUCAUCCCGUAUGUUGAAAGUGCAGUGGAGCAAUCACGAGGAGCGGGAGGCGACUUGGGAGCCUGAGACAGUGAUGAGGGAGUCCUACCCCGACCUGUUCGUUGCCCUGUCUUGAGGUAUGUUUUAAGUUUCGAGGACGAAACUUUUUGUAGUGGGGGAGGAUGUAGUAUUCUGGUUUUUUUGAGUUGGUAAGUUGGGUUGCCUUUGGGUUGGAUAAGGAUGCCACGUGUAAUUACCACAUGCAUCCUUAUCAUGUUAUGGUAAAUGAAGGUAUUCAUUUUUUUUAUUAUUUUAUUUAUUCAUUCUGUCUCUCUCUCUAGUUAAGCUGUACGUAGAGGAGGAGCUCGGGUGGUGUGGAGUUUCGCCGACGUCGCGCCGCGGUGCCGUUCGAGCGUGUGUUCGUCGUCGUAGCAUCGCGAGGGGGUCGGGCGAGGGUCCGAUUCCGCCGUUUUCAAUGUCGCACCGGAUUGUGAUUAGCGUUUCAGGUGGGUUUAUCAUCGGAAUCCUAUUCCUAUAGUAUUGUUGGUCGACAUGUAUUGUUAAUAUUACAAGUUGUUAUUGUUUAGCUCAAAUUCAUGAGUAGGUAUGUUUUCGACAUAUAAACUGAAUUGGGAGCAUGUUAUUAGUUGUUAUUAAUCAUACAUGUGGGACUUGGAUAAAACAUAGGAGAAAACCAGCGUUCGGGACCUGGCAUAUGUUGAACUAUCUGAUUUAGCCCUAGGGGCCGUUGUAUUUUUAUACUGUUGCAGUAUCCUCAUAGUGAGUAUCCCCAGGUAGUUCAGAUUUCAGUUACGCUCGUGCUGGGAUGCCGAGCCGAUUUUUACAGUAGUGUUUACAGUGUUCCGGAUUAGUGGGUGCCGUAGUGGUUGACGGCGGACCCGGAUUUGAUCGUUCCGAUAUCAGAUUGUGCCUAGGGCACGUGACUAGGGGUUGGUAGUACUGUUAGACCUGUUUUCUUGACUUUAGCCUGUGAGAGCUUGAUUGAGCUCGACAGAGAUACGCUUGCAUACUCGGUUGGGUCGCGCCUACGAGUGCCGCUCCGGAGUUUGGCUUUGUACUUUCGCGUUGAUAUCGUUGAUUAGUUGCUAUCCAUAGACCGUUUAGCAAGAAGGUAGCACGGCUUAGACAGGCAGGACGGGUGCGUACACAGUCCCUAAUGAGAUUGGGUCAGAAUUGAUAGUAGACAUAGUGGAAUAGUGUAGUGGCAUGUAGCUGUGGAUUUCUUUCCGGGUUUACCUUUUAGCCUUGUUUCCUACUGUAGUCUUAGUGGGUGAGCCGAUGAUUUUGAGGGCGGUACCCACUGAGAACUACUUGUUUUUACAGUAGUUCUCACGCCCAAUUGUUACCGUGUGUUUUGCAGAGCCUGCUGUUCCGGCUGCUGCGUCUUCAGAGGCUGAUCGAGGCAAGGGCGUCCCGAGCUAGAGCCCUACACGACGAAUCGCCGUGCUAGAGGAUCACCAGCUGCAGGUAGUUGUGUUUUUAUUUUGAGCUUAUGUACAUACUGAUACUAGAACUCGCUGGAGCGAGUGUUUUUGUACUUGUUAGUUUGUAUGUAUAUGAGAUUUGUUCGUUCUACCUGCUUAGUUCUUUUCAGCUCUACACUACUGUUU
rnacentral:lncRNA from 1 species